rnacentral:rRNA from 1 species
GGAACUGAGACACGGUCCAAACUCCUACGGGAGGCAGCAGUGGGGCAUAUUGCACAAUGGGCGAAAGCCUGAUGCAGCAACGCCGCGUGAGUGAUGAAGGCCUUCGGGUCGUAAAACUCUGUCCUCAAGGAAGAUAAUGACGGUACUUGAGGAGGAAGCCCCGGCUAACUACGUGCCAGCAGCCGCGGUAAUACGUAGGGGGCUAGCGUUAUCCGGA